rnacentral:misc_RNA from 1 species
AGAGUCUUGAGUCUUUUUUUUUUCCUUUUAACAAUGGUCACCGGUUGGAGAAGGGUGCUUUGCACAUCAAUCACAAAGAGUGAGAAACCACAGUAUUCAAAGGGUAGCAAUAAAAUUGCAAUAAUAAUUCCACCAACACCACUACCACUGCCAGCAGCGAAAGCCAAGAAUGAACUACAAAUUCAGGAUUUCUCCAACACAUCAAAACCCCGUUUACAACCUCAACCUAUAUCAACCUCAAGUCUCAGGUACCAAACCACACUGCCGUAACUCCCACAUCAUCAGCAGCCAAUAGACCAAAACUCCAACGCAAAAUUGCAACCAUAACCUCAAAAAGACCCAUCGGCCCAGACUCUUCCACUUUUUUGAUCCCUCCUCUCCUAAAUCCCCCUCCAGCUUCUGCUCCUUAAAGCCAGCCUUCGCCUCUCCAAGGUAAGUAGUCAUUAUAUAUCUAUCCCUCUAUACAGUCUAUUACAAUCAAAUCCCAAAAGAUAAAACUUUUCCUUAUCAUUGAUUGGCUGCCACUUACACUACCCUUGUUUUCUUUCGUAGAGUAGAUAUGGAAUCUGCUUCGCAUGAGAAGUGGCCAGGGGACAGGAAUUAGAGUGUGGAUGUACCCAAUAUAAGUUUCUUAUGCUAGCAAUCUCUCUGUUGUUCUGUGUUCUUGGGAAGGAACAAGAAGAGGAAGGAAAGAAAGAGAAAGAGAGGAGGGAGG